rnacentral:rRNA from 1 species
UACGAAGGGGGCGAGCGUUGUUCGGAUUUACUGGGCGUAAAGGGCGCGUAGGCGGCCCUCCUUGUCGCGUGUGAAAGCCCCGGGCUCAACCUGGGAAUUGCGCGCGAAACGGGAGGGCUUGAGUUCGGGAGAGGAGCGUGGAAUUCCCAGUGUAGAGGUGAAAUUCGUAGAUAUUGGGAAGAACACCGGUGGCGAAGGCGGCGCUCUGGACCGAGACUGACGCGUGAGG